UACAGAGGGUGCGAGCGUUGUCCGGAAUCACUGGGCGUAAAGGGCGCGUAGGCGGCGCGACAAGUCAACGGUGAAAGCCCGGGGCUCAACCCCGGGUCGGCCGUCGAUACUGUUGGGCUUGAGCACUGUAGAGGCAGGUGGAAUUCCGGGUGUAGCGGUGGAAUGCGUAGAGACCCGGAAGAACACCGGUGGCGAAAGCGAUCUGCUAGGCCGCAACUGACACUCAUGGACGAAAGCUAGGGGAGCGAAUGGG
rnacentral:rRNA from 1 species